rnacentral:rRNA from 1 species
GUGGGGAAUAUUGGACAAUGGGGGGAACCCUGAUCCAGCCAUGCCGCGUGUGUGAAGAAGGCCUUUUGGUUGUAAAGCACUUUAAGCGAGGAGGAGGCUACCGAGAUUAAUACUCUUGGAUAGUGGACGUUACUCGCAGAAUAAGCACCGGCUAACUCUGUGCCAGCAGCCGCGGUAAUACAGAGGGUGCAAGCGUUAAUCUGAUUUACUGGGCGUAAAGCGCGCGUAGGUGGCCAAUUAAGUCAAAUGUGAAAUCCCCGAGCUUAACUUGGGAAUUGCAUUCGAUACUGGUUGGCUAGAGUAUUGGAGAGGAUGGUAGAAUUCCAGGUGUAGCGGUGAAAUGCGUAGAGAUCUGGAGGAAUACCGAUGGCGAAGGCAGCCAUCUGGCCUAAUACUGACACUGAGGUGCGAAAGCAUGGGGAGCAAACAGGAUUAGAUACCCUGGUAGUCC